CCAAAGUGCUGGGAUUACGGGUGUGAGCCACCACGCCUGGCCGAAACUUUUUAAAAAUACUACACUUUGAGCAAUUUAGAGCUAAAGAUGAUAUGUUCUGGAAAUCUGUUUUAUUUAUGUGACUCUGAAGGUGGCUCCAGUGACGGCAGGGAUGAUGUAAUGAUGCAAAUGAAGAGUGAAUAAUGUUUUUGAUAACAUGUGUGUAGAAAAGAAAAGCCAUGUUUUUAUUUUGUGGUGGUCGUUGAGAUGGGGUCUCACUAUAGUGCCCAGGCUGGUCCUCAACUCCUGAACUCAGGUGAUCCUCCUGCCUUCACCUCCCAAAGUGCUGGGAUUAACAGGCAUGAGCCACCACAUCCAGCCAGAAAACUGUGCUUCUAAAUUGAUCUAUUCUAUUAGAAUGUGUGAUUCAGAAUAAAUAUGUAAUUUAAUUCCUAAAUUACCAAAUUCGAAUUUUAAAGUAGACAUUUGACUAUUUCAUUCUAAUUCUUCAAAUUUAUAUCUAAGUUGGCCCUUCCCAUUGGCAAACUGUAGCGUGGCCGUGUUUGGUGGGAUUUUUUUUUUUUUUUUUUUUUUUUAAUUUUGAGAAGCAGUUUGAGCUCAUUUCCUGCAUGUUUAGUUCUAGGUGCAAUGUUUUAAGGGGAAGACUUACACUAUGAAGCUAGCCCAGAAGAGGGUGACUAGAGUACUGAGGAGUUUCUACCUGGAAGGGCUGUAAGACAACUGCUAUGUUGUGAGCGGCUCUAUGGAGAGGCCCAUGUGGAGGGAAGUGAGGAAGGCCUCUGGCCAACAGUCCAGGAGGAAGUGAAGCCCUCAGUCCAACAGCCUGUGUGGAACUGAACCCUGCAAACAACUCUGUGUGUGAGCUUGGAAGUGGAUCCAUAUUCAGUCAAACCUUGAGAUGGGACACCAUGCUCUGCUAACACUUGAUUGUGGUCCCAGCUAGGCCACUGCUGAAGUCUUGACUCAGAGAAACGAUGAUAUAGUAAAUGUUUGUUGUUUCAAGUUGGUAAGUUUUGGGAUAAUUUUUUAUAUAGUGAUAAUUUUUUAUAUACUUUAAAAUAACACAUUGCCCUAUCCUUUGGUUACACUUUUCUCUUGGAACUCUGCUUGCCCAUAUAUUACAGAAAUAUUUUUCAGAUCAUGGGCUGAAAGGUGGAUUAUGGAUGCAAUGUUUAAAUUUAGCAAUGUCAUUUAUGACUGUUCAUAUGAGCUUUGCUGCAUAAAAUGUUGAUAUUAAUUUGUUUCCCUUUAAGACAUUCUUAAUGUUUACCUCUCAGUAUUUUCUUUGUAAUCAAUUAAUGUAAGAUGAAUAUAGUUUGUAGGUUUUACCUUUCUUGAUUCGUAUACAAAACACACAACAUCCAACCAUUGUUAUUUAAAGAUUAUCUAGGAGGAGAUGAUGGAAACUCUGUUUUGGGCCACCUUCUUUACACAUUGGGUCUAUUUCCCCUAACUUGAGUAUAUAUUAAACUAGUGGGGGAUUGAGCUACAAAAAUGCUACUUGGUGAGAAUUUUAUUAAUACAAAUACUCAACUCUGAAGUUACGUUUUUGUGGAAAGUUAUCACUUUGGAAUUUGAAUUUUCUUGGAGCUAAGCCACUGGUAGUUGUAAAAGCUACACCUGUAAAUUUGCUCCCUAGAAGAUACUUUCGUUUAGUGACCACUUGUUUCUCUGUGGAUAAAUUCAAUUAUAAAUUACAAUCGAAUUGACGUUUUCAUAGCAUCCUUCACUCUCCAAGUAUCUCAAGUCCUCUGUGAAUUAUAAAGUAAUUACAGUGCUCAAAGGACAGUUUCAUAAUUGUGUCCAUGAGCACAGACUUUCCUCUAUGUUCGAGAAGGGCUCAUUCCCAGCCGGGAACAUUAAGUUGGAUUUUAUUGAGACUGGGGACUGCUAGUCCAGACAGCUGGGUGAUCCCCUGCGCUAUUUUGAAAAGUAUCCUGGGAUCUUUAAUUUCCACCUGGAUGGUCAGGGAGGUGAGAGAACGGCCCUCACUGGGUGUGACCUUGUAUCCCACUUGGGGUCUUGAACCAGGGGACCCCCAACCCCAGAGGUGAGACAUGCAAUAUGGUCAAUUAUACAACCUCUUAAUUAUUUUUUGCUGAAUCUCAAGUGAGUUCUCAUGGCCUGCUCUCUCCCGGGUGGGUUCAGAAGGUGGCCAAGAAGAAAUGUUAGAAAAUUCCCAGAGAGCCAUUUCAUGAGAAUGUUUUCUUUGGUUUAUACCUGAUACUGUUUUGUUUUUGUUGUUGCUUUUUAAUAACUUUUUUUUCUUUUUGUGGGGUCAUUUGCGUAAUACACAGGUGACGAACACUCAAGGUUAUUUGGUCGCAUGCCACCAAAUAACUUUCCUUUGGCACAUCUGCAGUGAAGGAGUCUUUCUGUCUGUCUCCUUUUGUUCCUCAUCAUCUAUUAGCUUGGCACAGCUGACUGAGCUGUUAAAUGAUUACUGCAUAUUUUGUACCUCACCUUGAGAGGCUUUGGUAUAAAAAGGUGCUAAUUAAGCUGAAGCUUCUGGCCCUCUUGCCUAUGUGGGCCCCAGGAAGCGAAGCAAAAAGACUUUAGGGAGCUGGAGCUUGUGUGUGUGUGUGUGUGUGUGUGUGUGUGUGUGUGUGUGUGUGUGUGUGUGUGUGUUUCGUUUUCAGCAUUUUGAGGAAUUGUUACUGGAACUUAUAAAAUAAUUGUUUUAGACCUUAUAAACACAGCAAAUUCUUCAAACUACGUAUGAGGCUGACUCAAAAAGCCACGUAAAGGUAGCUUGGCGAAUCAACUAACUGCUGACCAGUUUGUGGUGAUCGUAAGUCUAUAUAUGCUGGAUUUGGCGAUCGUAAGUCUAUAUAUGCUGGAUUUGAAUAUUUUCUGUAUUUAAAGAAAAAUAAGUACAUUCUAAGAAUAGUUGUCAUCUCCCUCUGUAGACUUGCCCCGUAGAUAUUUGAAAUGGGGAUUAACAUAUUUAAGAGUAGCAGGAAGUGCUAUUUCAUCAGUGUCUAGAAUGGGAGGCGAAUUCAGUCCCUGCCUGGACUUGUUGACUAGCUCGCUGGGUUGUGAAAACCACGGCAUUCUCCUGGGAAUUUGUUCCAGGGCACUGACUGCAUUUCUUCUGAAGCUAAAGCACUUAGCUUUGCUUCCAUGCCUUUUAAUAUAAUUUGUAGGCUUCAGCAGAUUUCUAAAGUACACCACUUGAUAUCUUUCACAGCUCAAGGUAAAUUCUGCAGCACGAACUUAUAGAAUUUUUUUCUUUUACCUGGGGUGAGAACAUACCUUUUCCUAGUGCUAUUUUUUUUUUCUGGGCUACCUUUCAUCUGUUUACAUGAAUUCCACUUCUUCUCGCUGUGUUAAAGAAAUCCCCUAAGCUGUCUACAUAGGUGUGAAACUUUUGGUUGUGAUUUCCUUGAAGUUAGUUGGAACUGGAACAUUUUUUUCUGUGUCCUGAAUGGCUCACACAUUCCCUAACACAGAAUGGAUACUCAGCGAACAGUUGUUGAAUCAGUGAACGGUAAUGGCUCAGUUCUGUCAGACAAUGGAUUGAAUUAUUUUUACACCUUUAAUUCACUCAUGGACUGAAUUAACCUACUCAUGGGCUGUUUGGGGCAUCAAGUGAUAUUUAUACAUUUCUGAAGAAUGUGGAAUCACCAGGGUUAACAGUGUUUGCAGGUGGCGUUCGAUUGCAGGGGCCCAAGGAACCACGGCUGAAUUCCGCAUGGACAUAGGCCAUUUUCCACCAGCAAAGUUAUGAGAACUUUUUUUGUUUUGGUAACUGAUGUGAAAUUUUCAGUUCCGAAUGACAUCCAGAAACUCUCCUUCUGCAGCAGAUGAAUGUUUUGAGGGAAUUUGAGAGGAGGGUUUGUCUUUUAUCUCUCACCUGCACGAGGACACUUGCAGUCUCUUAAGAGAUGUUCUCUUUUUGAAAUGGUGGAAGGACAGAAGCAUCAGCCAGCCCGUUCAUGCUUGGGGACAGAGAGGGAGCUCAGAGCUUAGGGGAGCACAGGUCACUCUAAUGAAUGACAGCUGUAAUAAUAAAGACAUGCCAUCCAUGCUACUUUUUGCAGAAACCAGAAACAUCCUUGUGAAAGUUAAAGGGAAAAGAAAAACGUGUACUUUGAGGGGGGUGUUAACGGGGGACAGGAGGUGGCGACAUAAAAGACUGGUUUAAUGUGUCUCGUUGUAGCCCCUAAGGCUUUACCUGACCCCAUCACUGUCACAACACCUUCUUCGGGACUGACAGUCUUGGUAAUUGAUGGGUUGGUGGGGGCUUUUUUCUGCAAACACAUUAAGGCAGGAGGGAAUACUCUGGCCCCCACCUCCCCACGCCUGGCACGGGGGACCUGGAGGCGAGCAGACACCAGGCCCGGCGGUGUUGGGGGCAGAAGGGAUCAAUUCUGUCAACCAGACUGCCCAGCUACUGUCAGGCACUGGGACCCUUCACCUGCUCCUUGGAGUCAUUAGAACUCCCAAAUCUCUUUGCAGGCCUUUUCUAUUAGACACAUACUCCCAUGUUUUGAUUUUUUGCUCCCAAAGUCAUUUUUUUAAAUAAUUACCUGCAUCGAACCACACUUACCAUCUGUGGGCUGAGAGCGGGCAAAUGAUUUAUUAGUCUUGGUUUCUAACGGUGCUGAGCAGCUUGGGAUCGAUCUUGCUGGUGACACACUCGGCAGAUGCACCGAUGGGUGGGAGGGUCAAUGUCAGGAUGAAGCUUCUUGCGGAGCUGACAUGCACGUGGGGACCCCAGGUGUGGUGUUUAGUUGGUAGACUGUGACAUUGCAAAAGUGGAGUCUCAAGCCAUGGCGGAUAACAGGCGGCAGAAAAAGCAGUGAGGGAGCUUCUUGGGAUGUUUUACUUUAAGUAGAAAGUAAAACUGUGCAUGAAAAGAGGGGACAGAGUAUGCAACCCAAAUCAUCGCCAAGGCUCUUGGUUUCUUCUGUGCACACUGCCUGCCUUGUAUCCAAGCGUUUGACUGUGCAGAGGCCAGUCAUACUGGGGGACCCUGAGCACUACCCUUGGCAUUUGGGUAUAUCCUGAUCAAUAUAGCCAUUUCCACUGCUUGACAUUAUGUUUUGGGGGCUAGUUUUUUAAAGAUCAAUGAUUGAAUUGCUGCUCGGCUGAUUGGAUAUGUCUUCUCGGAGACUCACCUGUCCUCCCCGAAGAGAUGCUGACUACACAACAGCAGUCACUGUGCUGGGCACACGGGCAGUGUUCAGGAGACGUGGCUUCCUUUCUUCUUCUUUCAUUUCUUCCUGCCCAGAACAGCAAGGCUGAGACUGAUAAUAAAAUUCCUGGAACAUGGAGAAACUCAUGUGGGGAGAAAAGAAGAAAUGUAUUGUGACUUCCAUGGGCUUUUGGCACUUUUGGACCUCCCUCCUCCUCUUUUCCAUAAAAAAUGUAUUUUAAGACAUAUUGGUAUAAAGAUGAGAUUAUUCAUAGUACAUAUUAAAAUGUUUUCCCCUACCUAAAAGUUUGUGGUUUUAUUGUCUUCUUGUUUUUAAAAUAAAUUAAAAUAUUUUCAAAGGCCGUUAGAAGAACCGUGGGCCCUGGGCUUGGUGCCUGCUGUGCCUCAUAAAUCAGGCCUGGAGAAGAGACAUCAGUGACAUUUUAGUGUCAGGUAGAAAAUGUAAAAUAUCAUGAUUGUUUUCCAAUGAUAUACUAAGUAAGACACAUAAGAUGUGUUUUAAUUUUUUUCUUGAUGUAUGCUGUUGUCUUUUAGUUAUAAAUGCUGAGUACUGUUAAAAGAUAAACUGAGGCACAAUAAAAUUUGAAGAGUUUAUUUGAGCAAACAAUGAUUUGUUACCGAAACACCAGGGGUUCAUCUGGGUCCUGCUGCUUGCCACACAGAAAGCCAAUCACUGAG
rnacentral:lncRNA from 1 species